UCCCUCCCCUCCUGAGAUCACGUGCAUUUCUCAGAACUAAGGAUUUUUAUUUCAAUCUGCGCAGUUUUGUGAAGUUGCGAAGCACGGUAGGAUUUGGUGUGGACAGGUAAGUCCUGUAAGAUCAAGUAGGUCUAUUUUGCGGCGGGAUGUUUAUCGGGUGAAGGAAUUGUCUUUAUCCAAAUGUCUCAGACAGUAUUUAGUUGGUCUGGUCGUCCUCAAAUCGACACAAAGUAGACAUACGACUUGGGCGUGUCUUUAUAUAGAAUCUACCCUCAGCCUGCGGGUGAGCCUUUAACACUGUCGAUGCGCAGUUGGAAUAUUUCCAUAUCACGGAAAAUGACUAAUUUUGGUUCAUAUUGUUAACUGUGUCGAUCUUGUCACUAUAUACACAAGGCGAUAUAUAUAUCUAUAUAAGCGACCUUCUCGUAAUCAUGUAUAUUUUAUAAACACCCAGAUGUAUAUUUAUGCAUGAAGUGACUACAUGUAGUAUUAACGCCACGCACGUCAGACAUUACAAUUUACAGCCUCGCCUACUGAUCACGGAUAUGGAGGAUGUAUCUUGACAAAGCUUGGCCCGUCAGGACGGUCGUUUACCCACAUGCAGGCCUGUUAUAGAUUAGCCAGGGCUGUCUGUGUGGAAUUUUAGCAAACACUAACCUACUUGUACAGCCUGAUAGGUUGUCUUUAUAUUUUCCGGUUACCAUGGCAACAGCCCUGUAUCUGUCUAGACAUGUAUGUCACAUAUCUGGUGCGCAGCGAAGUCAACCCUUACGGUUUAAACAUUGUGUGUUUAUCCGUCUUGAUCACACGAUAUAUCAGCACUACUGUAGUCUGUAUUUCUGUGGUUCCUCACAAUAACACAAUAAAACACGGCAAGCUGGAAGAGUUUGACCUGUCACAAAUUGUCCAUUUUAUUACAUAAGAAAUAUCAAAUGCCAAGCUGUAGUCCAGACGCUUGGCGCCAUUGUCGUAUAGUGUCAAGUCUCCUUCAUUACCACUGUAGCCCAGUCGUUUGCCGCCAUUGUCAUAUUGGGUCAAUUCACCCUUACUACCACUCUAGUCCAGACGGUUGUCGCCAUUGUUAGGUAGGGUUAUGUCAACUUCACUACCUCUCUACCCCAGACACUGGGCACCAUUGUCAUAUAUCGCCAUCGGUUUUCAUGUGUGUCGGAUGUGUUUUGUGUUCACUAUGGGUUUCUUGUACAUACAUCUAACACACUUUGAGCUCGCUCUUUGUAGGUUUACUGUACGUCUGAUUCAUUUUGCGUCGGAUUUGAGUCACAAGAUAUUAUCACUCAGUGGCGAUGUUCAAAAGAGAAAGUUUUCGUUGUCGCCUUGAAUGUGCCUAGGCUUUGUGCAAAUGCAGUUUAAUUUUCAGCCCAAUCGCAUCGGCCGUUCUGGAAAAGAAGAUUUGUUCAGGUUGGCACAAAAUCCAAUAUGGCCACCAAUUGUCACCAAAAGCCAAAAACAACAACUUCGGAUACAUUCCUAAAACAUACUGAAGUUUCAGGGACGUAUCACUUGUUGUUUUCUCAUAAAAUCUAUCACCAAACCGCCUGGAAUAAACAAAUUCGAAGAGACGCAAUAGGGGUUCAAGCUUAGGGAUUCAAUUGGCCUUGCGAUUGUUGACCUCGAAUGUCCAUCUUGAUUGACAGUUGGUAUACGAAUGUUUGUUCCGACGCAUAGAUUUGAGCAUUUAGCUUUAAGAAUUUUAACACGUGUAGAAAAAGCGUAAUUUGCCAGCAAAAAAUCUGUUUUCAGUUCUCAAUUUUAAAUGUUUCACCAUAAAAGCUUAGAUGAAGUUCUGUUUACAACAAAAUGCAUAUCGAUGUUUUUAGAUGCAGAAAAUCUAGAACCAUUUCCAACUGCCCAUUUCUUGGUCUUAUUGAGACAAAGCUGCAGCUGCCUUUCGAUGCUAUUCAUAUUUUAGCACGGUAGCCUAUAAGAAAAUCAUCAACAUAUAAAGACCCCUCUGACCUAGAUGUUUAAGUUUUUGACAAGCUAUUAAGUUUACAGCUAAACAGUGUUGGUGAUAGUACACUGCCCUUGAGUACACCCAUUUCUGCUCAUGGAAGUCAGAAAGAUUGUCCGUACUCGAACCCUAAACUGACGAUCAGAUAAAAGUUCUGAUACAUGAAUAAAUAACGAUAAGCGAUAAGUCCCAUACCCAUAUCGUAGGUCGGUGAGCUUUUCAAGGUCGAGAAUAAUUGAUACCACGUGCUCAUUAUGUAUUAUAUCAUUAGAAAUAAAAGUUCCAAUGCAACAAACUUUAAAUUGACAUUGAGGAAAACCGCCUUUAAUAUUAGACAGUAAAUUGUUGGUUUAUAAAUACCAAAGAAGUCUGUCACUUAUUAUUCGUUCCAAACUUAACCACGCUGGUAAGAGCUAUGGGACGGUAAUUGGACGGCUCACAAUGAUCCUUACCGGGUUUUGAAACCAGGAUAAUACACGCCUCCUUCCAUGACGGUGGAAAAAAUACCACUCAUCUAAAUAUCAUGAUUAAACAAGCCCAUGAGAGUCUCCAGUGGCUCAGGAGACAAAUGGGUUAGAAACUUGUAAUAAAUAUUACUAUGACCACACGUACUAUACGUUGUUACGACCACAAAUCCAAAUAAUAAGGCUCACCCUGAGGUAAAGAUAAGAUAAAAUGAAGUUUGAUCAUAAUGUGGAGAAGUGUUUAGCAUUUAUAGUGCUGACAACUAAAGAUUCAGAACUUCCUGUAACAAAACAAUGCUAUUACGCUAGGCAAAGUUAUUGAUGAUUCCGCUGGAGAUGUUUAUUUAUUUAUUUAUUUGACUAAUGUUUUACGCCGCACACAAGAAUAUUUCUCUUAUACGACGGGGGCUGCAUUAUUAUGGUGGGAGGAAACCGGGCAAGUGCCGGUGGAACCCACAACCAUCCACAGUCUGAUGGAAGACCUUCCCACAUACAAGCGGAGAGGAAGACAGCAUAGGCUGGACUUGAAUUUACAGAAACCGCGUUGUGAGAUCCCCCUGGGUCAUUGCGUCGCGCUGGCACACUAUCCACCUCGGCCGUAUAGGCCCCGAGAUGUUACAAAACUUAGGUCCAGUGAUGCCUUGAUUGUGUGCAAAGCCAGAUGAAGACAUAGUUUUAUUGACAGUUCGGAGGAUAUCUUCUCUAACCGACUGCUCAAACUGAACCAAUCCGAUCUUCAGUCUCUAACUGAGAGCCGUAGUGGAGUGUUGGGCUUAAAAUCUCGCAAGACCAUUCUCUUCAAUUAAGUGUGACAACCAAGGGCAGUCAGGAAAAAAAACCUGAGCAAAUAAUGGCCGAGAGCAAGCAGAAUCUUGAUGAUGUUC